rnacentral:rRNA from 1 species
AUUGAACGCUGGCGGCAGGCUUAACACAUGCAAGUCGAACGAUGAAACUCUAGCUUGCUAGAGAAGAUUAGUGGCGGACGGGUGAGUAACAUUUAGGAAUCUGCCUAGUAGUGGGGGAUAGCUCGGGGAAACUCGAAUUAAUACCGCAUACGACCUACGGGUGAAAGGGGGCGCAAGCUCUUGCUAUUAGAUGAGCCUAAAUCAGAUUAGCUAGUUGGUGGGGUAAAGGCCUACCAAGGCGACGAUCUGUAACUGGUCUGAGAGGAUGAUCAGUCACACCGGAACUGAGACACGGUCCGGACUCCUACGGGAGGCAGCAGUGGGGAAUAUUGGACAAUGGGGGCAACCCUGAUCCAGCCAUGCCGCGUGUGUGAAGAAGGCCUUUUGGUUGUAAAGCACUUUAAGCAGGGAGGAGAGGCUAAUGGUUAAUACCCAUUAGAUUAGACGUUACCUGCAGAAUAAGCACCGGCUAACUCUGUGCCAGCAGCCGCGGUAAUACAGAGGGUGCGAGCGUUAAUCGGAAUUACUGGGCGUAAAGCGAGUGUAGGUGGCUCAUUAAGUCACAUGUGAAAUCCCCGGGCUUAACCUGGGAACUGCAUGUGAUACUGGUGGUGCUAGAAUAUGUGAGAGGGAAGUAGAAUUCCAGGUGUAGCGGUGAAAUGCGUAGAGAUCUGGAGGAAUACCGAUGGCGAAGGCAGCUUCCUGGCAUAAUAUUGACACUGAGAUUCGAAAGCGUGGGUAGCAAACAGGAUUAGAUACCCUGGUAGUCCACGCCGUAAACGAUGUCUACUAGCCGUUGGGGUCCUUGAGACUUUAGUGGCGCAGUUAACGCGAUAAGUAGACCGCCUGGGGAGUACGGCCGCAAGGUUAAAACUCAAAUGAAUUGACGGGGGCCCGCACAAGCGGUGGAGCAUGUGGUUUAAUUCGAUGCAACGCGAAGAACCUUACCUGGUCUUGACAUAGUGAGAAUCCUGCAGAGAUGCGGGAGUGCCUUCGGGAACUCACAUACAGGUGCUGCAUGGCUGUCGUCAGCUCGUGUCGUGAGAUGUUGGGUUAAGUCCCGCAACGAGCGCAACCCUUUUCCUUAUUUGCUAGCGGGUUAAGCCGGGAACUUUAAGGGUACUGCCAGUGACAAACUGGAGGAAGGCGGGGACGACGUCAAGUCAUCAUGGCCCUUACGACCAGGGCUACACACGUGCUACAAUGGUAGGUACAGAGGGUUGCUACACAGCGAUGUGAUGCUAAUCUCAAAAAGCCUAUCGUAGUCCGGAUUGGAGUCUGCAACUCGACUCCAUGAAGUCGGAAUCGCUAGUAAUCGCAGAUCAGAAUGCUGCGGUGAAUACGUUCCCGGGCCU